AGUGAACGCUGGCGGUAGGCCUAACACAUGCAAGUCGAACGGCAGCACAGUAAGAGCUUGCUCUUACGGGUGGCGAGUGGCGGACGGGUGAGGAAUACAUCGGCAUCUACUUUUUCGUGGGGGAUAACGUAGGGACACUUACGCUAAUACCGCAUACGACCUACGGGUGAAAGCAGGGGAUCUUCGGACCUUGCGCGAUUGAAUGAGCUGAUGUCGGAUUAGCUAGUUGGCGGGGUAAAGGCCCACCAAGGCGACGAUCCGUAGCUGGUCUGAGAGGAUGAUCAGCCACACUGGAACUGAGACACGGUCCAGACUCCUACGGGAGGCAGCAGUGGGGAAUAUUGGACAAUGGGCGCAAGCCUGAUCCAGCCAUACCGCGUGGGUGAAGAAGGCCUUCGGGUUGUAAAGCCCUUUUGUUGGGAAAGAAAAGCAGCAGGUUAAUACCCCGCUGUUCUGACGGUACCCAAAGAGUAAGCACCGGCUAACUUCGUG
rnacentral:rRNA from 1 species